AAGGAUUCCCCAGUAACGGCGAGUGAAGUGGGAAAAGCUCAACUUUGAAAUCUGGCUGUUUUACAGUCCGAGUUGUAGUCUCGAGAAGUGUUUUCCGCGUUAAACCGUGUAUGAGUCUGUUGGAACACAGCGUCAUAGAGGGUGAGAACCCCGUUCAUGACACGGCUUUUAAUGCUUUGUGAUACACUUUCGAUGAGUCGAGUUGUUUGGGAAUGCAGCUCAAAUUGGGUGGUAAAUUCCAUCUAAAGCUAAAUAUUGGCGAGAGACCGAUAGCAAACAAGUACCGUGAGGGAAAGAUGAAAAGCACUUUGGAAAGAGAGUUAAAAGUACGUGAAAUUGUCGAAAGGGAAACGCUUGAAGUCAGACGUGCACGGGAUUUAUUCCUAUUGCAGGCCAACAUCGGUUUUACGAGCCGGAUAAAGGUACAAGGAAGGUAGCAGUUUCGGCUGUGUUAUAGCCUCGUACUGAAUACGGAUUGUGAGACCGAGGGACGCAGCGCACCGCAAGGCAAAGGGUCCGCCCUUUUCGCGCUUAGGAUGUUGGUGAAAUGGCUU
rnacentral:rRNA from 1 species